CAAGAAAGGAGGGAAUCGAACCAUCACUGAAUGGUUUCAAGCCAGCCGCAUUAAACCACUUAAUGUUCUUUCUC
rnacentral:tRNA from 1 species